rnacentral:misc_RNA from 1 species
GUGUAUGUGUACAUGCAUGUGCAUGUGCAUGUGCACGUGCUUGUGUGUGUAGCUUCGGGGUGGGUCCCAGAGCAGCCAGUUACAAGCCAUUACUGAAUGCAUCGCUUGGUUUUCGAUUUUUGAACAGCAACUAUUCCAAUUGAAACAUACACCUUGCCAUGCAAAUUAAAAACCAAUCUCUUUCAGUAAUUGACAACAACUGGAUCUGAGCGCACUUUUCAAACCGCCUUCAAACCACCAACUUUUUUUUGUAAUUCUAUGUAGGGGCGGGCGCCCAAGGAGUGGGACAUGACCAUUCAUGCACUGUCGGCUGAAGCCCGUCGGUGGCUGAGUGGCGGUCUGUAGAUGCAGUGCAUACUCAGUGGAUUCUGUUGGGUUGUCAAGUAUUGUGGAUGACAUUGCUUUUGCCUGCAGCAGCAUUGGCUGAGCAAUUCUGUGUGCAAUAUCAUCUCUUAGAUGGUAGGUUGCAGAACUGUGGCUCAGGCUAUCACUUGAAGUGAUUGGAUGUGUGGUGAAUCAUGGCAACAAAAUGGUCAUGUGUAUGAACAUGUCAUGUGAACACAUCUGUGUGCAGUCCACAGUUGUGAA